rnacentral:rRNA from 1 species
UACGAAGGGGGCGAGCGUUGUUCGGAUUUACUGGGCGUAAAGGGCGCGUAGGCGGCCCUCUUUGUCGCGUGUGAAAGCCCCGGGCUCAACCUGGGAAUGGCGCGCGAAACGGGGGGGCUGGAGUUCGGGAGAGGAGCGUGGAAUUCCCAGUGUAGAGGUGAAACUCGUAGAUAUUGGGAAGAACACCGGUGGCGAAGGCGGCGCUCUGGACCGAGACUGACGCUGAGGCGCGAAAGCGUGGGGAGCAAACAGG